ACAACUUCUGGAGAUAAUGUGAUUUACCACUUUUCGAGGAAAAAGGUCGUCGUCUUCGUGGAAAGUUUGUGAUGACGUUGAAAGGAGGCGGCGCAAGACGACCUCAGAGGCAGCACGGGUUGGCCACCAGCCACCGUGACCCCUCCCUUUGUCUUACCCGUUAUUUAUUGCAAAAUAAUGCAUCUACCCCAGAGCGACCGUACCGGCUUUGUUGACCCUGAGCGCUGGGCCCUGAAAUCGGGCAAGACACUGUUCAUGGCUGAUUGUUUUACACGUGGUAAGAAAGGGCCCCCGUGUGAAACUAGACUGAAAUCUCUUUUGCUUCAAGUUCUGUACUGUUCCUCACUUCCUCUUCUUUACCGGAAUGACUCUCUUUAAACUCACCGAUAAGCCCUUGGCUCCACUAUGUCUUCGCAUUCUUUGCUCUGUUUGGUCCUUUGUGUGUCCCCCCCACAGCCCCCCACAUGAAAUCAACUAAGUCGGAACCUGCGAACAGUCCGGCUGUCAGGCUGGUCCACCGAUGAUGCUUUGUUAGACUUUUACAGUGUAUUUUUAAACGGUGUCUCUGUUACACACAGGAUAUCAGGAGAUUCUACGUAAUUAGCCUCUCUUUAGAAUUCUCUCAAAAUAUCAGGACGCCUGGCAAGCCAGCGCAUUUUCCCUCAGGGCAGCGAGUAGCUGAAGCUGCCUCUUUCGUCUUAGGACUGGUCAGAUUCGCUGAUUUAUUUCCUCCCUGAAGCCCCGGGAUGGGACCACGAUGCAGAGGAGUGACCAGAGGACCUCGGACAGUAAGUUGCUGCACCAUCUGGAGGAGGGGACAGAGGUCGCUUCGCAUCUGGACACCAAGGGACCUUGUGGCUGGCGUUGGGGACGGGAAACCCCAAGCCGUGAUCUGUGUGGAUGGACGGGGGACCAAGCAGGCAGCACUGGAUGCCAAAGAGUGAACACGUGGUGGCAAGAUCGGAAGCCCUCAGAGCCUCAGCGUCACCAGGGAAUGGAAUGAGGACAGGAGCACAUUGGGUCGUGGUAUCCAAAGCGUUCAAAGUUGUUUCUGAAGAGGAGCCCAGGCCAUUGCUACCAAGGAGAAACCCAAGCUGCAAAACAGAGAGGAGGAAACACAAGAUAUUACCUGUGACGCGGGAGGAGGGAACACUUUCUUCGGGCACAAAAAUCCCUCCGCUUUUGCUCGAGAAGCAAAUACAGACUCUAAGCUGGCUGCAAAGGCUGCCGGGCUGAGCUGAGCUCCUACCUCCUCCGCCCCCACUCCCCCUUUCCGCCCAUGGGCACUGCUUCAGCCCCACGUGCAGCAAGCCCACUUUGGGGCUUUGCCCUUGCCUGGCAUGCUGUGACCUGUGCCUGGGUGGCAGGUGUUCAUGGUUGAGGCCUCAGCUUUAAUGUCACCGCCUCGGAAAAGCCUCCUCUGACUGCGCCAUGCUAUAGGCUCUGGGCUUUGGCCUGACCUGCAGUUUAAGCACGAUGCGAAAUCAUCACAUCUGUUUGCCGACUCGUUUACUGUUUUCUGCCCUAGAAAGUUUCAUUAGAACAGGGUUCCAACCUCCAUUCUGCACUGUAUUCCCAGCACAGGGCACACAGUCGGUCCUCAAUAAAUGCGUGUUGGAUGGAUGAAGAACUAAAUAA
rnacentral:lncRNA from 1 species